GUAAAAUCUCAACUCCGAGUAACCCCAGCCGAGUAGCUGUCCCCCAAAAAAAAAACUCUCUCAAAUAACCAGUAAAACCCCAGUCGAAAAUCAAAGUCUCAAAUUCUCAAAACCCUACACCGGAGCUACGUUGACGGUAAUGGCCGGUUACUCCCCGCCGGCGAAAUCAUAGCUUGGUGGAAUUUUGAAAUUAAUCGAAAGUUGAAGAAGACAUUGCCUAUUGAAGAUAGUGCGUUUUACAAGUCACAAAAAUGUCAGAUAUCAGAAAAUGGUUCAUGAAGCAGCAUGACAAAGGUACGGGUAAUGGGAGUAUGUCCAAGAAUAGUGCUCCAGAAAAGCCUUCAGCAGAAAAGCCUUCUCCAGGAAACCUGGUACAAGAAGGACAAGAGACUGCCGGCAGAAGGAAAACUAGUAAAUAUUUUGCUACAGCACAAGUGAAGGCAAAAGAAGAAAAAAGUAGAGGAAGUAUCAGCAAAAAGAAAAGCUCAAAAUGCUGGUGGAAGUUCAUCAGUUAAUGAGAAGCCACCAGCUGCGAAAAGAAUUUCACAAAGCUGAGGAUGACGAUGACUUUGUACUGCCUGCAUCUGCAAUGGGAUCCAGAGGUGCCACUCCCGCAAAAAGUCGGCAAGUGGCUCUGGCAGGGGAUCUGCACGGAAGUCUGUGAUCAGUGAUGAAAGUGACGAUGAUCUUAAGGAUACAAAAUCUGAUCCCAAACCUACUGGAAGAGGGCGUGGUGGACGAGCAGCUCAGACUGGUGGGAAAGGCAUCCCUCUUGAUGAAAGUGAUGAUGAUGCCUCAGCUGAUAAGGACACCAAAUCUGGUGGAUGAGGGCGUGGUGGUAAAGGACCAUCUGCAGCACCAAGUGGUGGACGAGACAGAGGUGGUGGAGGACGGGGCGGUUUCAUGAAUUUUGGUGAAAGAAAAGACCCUCCUCACAAGGGGGAAAAGGAAGUUCCUGAAGGUGCCCCAAACUGUUUAGCUGGUUUGACUUUUGUAAUUAGUGGAACUCUGGACAGAUACAGGUUUCGAACAGCAGCAACAGCAGUAGUGCGAGUGUUAGCAUUUCGAUCAGCGAGGCACCGAGGUAGCCUUGCAGACGUCCCCAGGCCCGGCGUCUCCUCUAUCUUUAU